CCUGGAAACAGAUGCUAAUACCGGAUAANAACAGAUGAUGCCUAUCAACUGUUUAAAAGAUGGUUCUGCUAUCACUCUUGGAUGGACCUGCGGUGCAUUAGCUAGUUGGUAGGGUAACGGCCUACCAAGGCGAUGAUGCAUAGCCGAGUUGAGAGACUGAUCGGCCACAUUGGGACUGAGACACGGCCCAAACUCCUACGGGAGGCAGCAGC
rnacentral:rRNA from 1 species